UUCAAGUUCAAACUUGAACACUUGUACAAAGACUCCUUGGAUGAUCUGCUUGUGAUAUUGGAGCAUUUCCUCCUUGCUGGCCGACACAAUGGCAAGCUUUGUCAGUGAAGAGUGCCGAAGAGACACUGCAGGAGGAAGGGGCUUCUCUCCCAGUUCCAGGGUCAGAGGCCUCAUCUUCCUAGAAGUUCAUUCUUCAGAUUGUCAGCAAAAAUGUCCAUGAAAAUGAGGUACACCACUUCCUUCAGGCCUGGAGGUGAGGCACUCCUGGUCCUCCUUUUUUUUUUUUUUUUCCUUCACCUGUUGGUUGGCUGAAUGCAGAGAGGUCUCAGCCGAGGACUUAGGGAGGCCCUGAAAGAUGAUGGAACCACAAAAUUGGCAUGGUGAUAUAGUUUGAAUAUGUAUCCCUGUGAAAUCUCAUGUUGAAUUGUAAUCCCCAGUGUUGGAAGUGGGACCUGGUGGCAGGUGAUUGGGUCAUGGAGAGGAUCCCUCAUGGUUUGGUGUUGUCCUUGCAUUAGUGAGUUCUCGUGAAAUCUGGUUGUUUAAGAAUGUUACUCAUGCCCUCCAUUCUCUCUCUUUCUCCUGCUCUGGCCAUGUGAGGU